AGAUAAUCAUACAAAGAACUAGCCCUUUCCAACUCACUGUAAAUCCUCAAUCCAUGUUAGCUUUUUGUAACAUUAAUAACAUAGCAAUAAUAAUUUGUAGCUUGAAUAAUAGUAAGUUGCCUAAAGAGAUGUAGCUAAGGAAGUCUGAGUUAGCCUUUGGACUCUGAACUGCCUCUGCAUUUAGCACACUGAUAUGCAGAGCAAGCUGUAUCCACACUGAUCUCAGUGUGCUGCAGUUUCAAAAGCUGUUCAGCUGGGAUCAAGGAAAGCAAUGACCGCCUACUCCCCAAAUCCUUUCUAUUUCGAAAUUCCCAGGUCAAUGAUGACCAUUGCCAGAGGGUCUCAGGAAGGUGGAAUCCACAUGGAGAGUUGGAAAAGGGAGGCCGAGGUGGGCAGAUCACCUGAAGUCAGGAGUUCAAGACCAGCCUGGCCACCAUGGCGAAACCUCGUCUCUACUAAAAAAUACAAAAAUUAGCUGGGUGUUGCAGUGGGUACCUGUAAUUCCAGCUACUUAGGAGGCUGAGGCAGGGAGAACUGCUUGAACCCAGAAAGCGGAGGUUGCAGUGAGCUGUGAUUGUGCCACUACACUCCAGCCUGCAACCCUGUCACAAAAAAAAAAAAAAAAAGAAAGAAAGAAAAAAAGAAAAAUGAGUGGGAACUGAGGAAGUCUAAAUAAAAUUCUAAACAGCAAGUAUAAACCUUUGUUUUUUCAAUGAAGAGGAAUCACUAGAGUGGACACAGGAGGAUGGUGGAAAUUGAAGACAGGUAAGAAUAGAACACAUUUAUUGACGGAGAGGAGGGAGCUAGCAGAAAGUAUGGUUAACAGAGAGAGAAAAUAAGUGAAGACCCCAGUCCUUAAGGAAGGACUGUGAGGAUGGGGCAAGAGGAGGGAAGGAAAAGCGUCACCUCUUCCACUGAGGGCUAGAAAGGAGGUGGAGACAAGUGCAUAGGCAUUUGCAUGUCUGAGCAGGGCUUUGAAGAGGGUAAAUGUCUAAAAGCCUCUAGCAUCUCAGAAAAGUUGAAGAUGAGGUUAUAUGCUACACUGGAGAGGAGUAGAGACAAGACUGGAAAAUUUGAGUGCAUGGCUUCAGGUCUGAAAUAAACAUUGGAAGGCGACAGAGAGGAAGUUGAACCAGUCUGUGUAGAAGGAUGUGAGCACUGGGAUUUCAAAGACGAGGUUUGUAGAGGCCCCAGUCUGCAUCUUUAUAUGAUUUCCUCCAGCAUUUUUGUAACAUUACAUUGCAUUUUGUAACAUUGCUGAGCCCCUCUUUGAGUAAUUGGCAGAAAAGGCUGAGUCCUCAUAGAAUUGUGUGCUAUUUCUAAAACAUAUCCAUGGUUUAAAAAGCUUUAAGAUCUAUAAACUAAAAUCCACCCAUUUUGCAGGAUGAUUCACAGUGUCGACAGUUUGGAUCAAUUUCCUGAAGAAAGGACAAAACUGGAAGCUAUUCUUUAUGAGAGAAGAGAAUUCCAACCAGUGAGAUGAGAAUUGCACAAAUCCUGCAGCCCAUCUCUGCCACAGCUCAAAAUUGUUGGGUAAGUAAUGACCCAGACCAUUGAAGAAAAUGAGGAAACUGUGCACACAGACUGAUGUCUUAUGUGACCAACAUGCAUAUAAGAAAUGGAAGCUUCCCCCUAUCUUUCCAGAGUUCAAAAAUCCUAUUGCUGAAUUCACCUCCAAUUCCAUGAAACAAUAUAAAAGAUCCUCCAUAAAGACCCCAGGUUAUAAUGUUUACAAUUUAUUUUGUACUCCUUUUCUCUGGUAAUUGAUGACUGCUAUUAUUAAUGAAGACAUUACAAGGAAUAAAAGGGCUUGCCUGCCACUUCUCACCACAAAACCGUGUGGCAUCAAACAGAAUGAAAUCCUUCUGACACUGACAGCUGGAGAAAACCUUGUCACCACAGUGACAGUGUCAAGUGUGGUGUGACAUCUCUGUGUGUGUUUCUUUUGCACCUAAUAACUUCGUUGCCAAUACAGACCAAAAUAAUGAAAGAAAACCUGCUUUUGCCAGCCCAAAGGAUUAACUGUACUGUUGAGAAAACUGCAGGAAUAUUUGACAUGAGAUCACAAUUUUUAAUUCUUUUCCCCCCAGGAUUCUGCAUGAAGUAUUUUUCUAUGAAGGAUUUAAAUAGAAUUACUUUUCCUCACAUUGGUCAUGGAGAGAAUUAAGACAUUAACUGUUGAUCCAAUUUAUACUGCCAUUUGAUCCCAUAAGUGCUAUACAGGACUCGGUUACUCAUGGAAAAUAGUUCCUGCCAGAUCAAACACUCUCAGGGCCAAAGUCACAAGAUUCUGACUUUACAUGCUCUGUUCUGCCUCCUUUCAUUUUGCCUCUUGGAUUGUCAUGAACUUCCUGAGCAAGAAGGCCAUCCACCAUGCAGUGUAAUGUCUUGCUAAGAGAAAUUAGUAUUCAGUCUGCUCAGGUUCCAGCAAGGACUUUCUUCAUGAAGAUCUUCAAGUGGAAUCAAGCAGCCUUGCCCAUGAAGUCAUGCCUGUGGCUCCACUGAGAAAUUCGAUUAAGUAUUCCAAUACUGCUGUGAAACGAAGUGAUCUGAUUCCGGUGAGACAAUUUAUCUUGCAAGCAUAGCCCAUCUGGAUUCUUUACACUAAGGCAAGAGGCAAGCAGAAGACAAAGAGAGAAAGCAGAGGACCUCCGGGAAAGGAAGCCCCCUUUUCAGUCGGCCUAGGCAGAAGUAGAUUUACUCUGAGGAUUCACUCCAAGGGUGAAGUUUUAAGGGUGCUUCACUUGCUCUGGUUUCAUAAAUAAAUUUUGAUCUUCUUAAAUACAUUUGGAUUAAAUUUUCAUGUUUUUUUCUAAAAGAAAUUGUACAAACCUGAGGACCCAUGAACUUAGUUUCACCCCUCCUACUGGGGAAGCCUAGCAACUCCAAAUGGCCUUUGUCACCAUCUGAUUCUUAAAUUCUAAUUUCCACAUUGUUGUGUAAAAACAAGAAGCUAUAGAUAACAGUUGAGUUGUAAAGUUAUCUGGUGUACUUUAUUAUUAGCAGUGAUUGAUGUGGAUAAUGGACAAUCUGGAAAAUCCUGAAUACUUAACAAACAAUAUUAUUUAUAUCUAUCCAUUUUACUUUACAUGCAUAGAUGGAGGCUUUUAAAGAGUGUUACUUGUGAAACAUGUUUUUAAAAUUAUUUUGUCCUAUCUUAUGUUAUUAGACCCCUGAGAACUCAAGUUUAUAGAGAUUAGCAAUAUGAUUUUUAUAAAUAUUUUUAAGUACUUACCUCCCAGACCAUUGUAAAUGGGAUGGGCCAUAAUUACAAAUUUAUCAUUAAAAUAAAAAGAAUGUUAAGAAGCAUAUAAAAAUUACACAAUCCCAAUCUAUCUUUUCACAGAUUGACUGUCAAAUGCAUUCUGAUGGGAAAAUGAAUAGUAAAAAAAGACAUAAUAUACUGACAUUGAGCAUAUUUUAUAUUGAACAAGACUGUUUAAAAUUCUUCACAUAGCAUGUUCAGGCUGCAUUUUAAUUAAAUGCCAUGCAGAAGUGCUCAGCUUUUGAACCAUGUAAUAUUCCCAGG
rnacentral:lncRNA from 10 species